UACGUAGGGUGCAAGCGUUGUCCGGAAUUAUUGGGCGUAAAGAGCUCGUAGGCGGUCUGUUGCGUCGGCUGUGAAAACCCGAGGCUCAACCUCGGGCCUGCAGCCGAUACGGGCAGACUAGAGUUCGGCAGGGGAGACUGGAAUUCCUGGUGUAGCGGUGAAAUGCGCAGAUAUCAGGAGGAACACCGGUGGCGAAGGCGGGUCUCUGGGCCGGUACUGACGCUGAGGCGCGAAAGCGUGGGGAGCGAACAGG
rnacentral:rRNA from 1 species